rnacentral:rRNA from 1 species
CCUACGGGAGGCAGCAGUGAGGAAUAUUGGUCAAUGGGCGCGAGCCUGAACCAGCCAAGUAGCGUGAAGGAUGACUGCCCUACGGGUUGUAAACUUCUUUCAUAAAGGAAUAAAGUGAGGCACGUGUGCCUCUUUGUAUGUAUUUUAUGAAUAAGGAUCGGCUAACUCCGUGCCAGCAGCCGCGGUAAUACGGAGGAUCAGAGCGUUAUCCGGAUUUAUUGGGUUUAAAGGGAGCGUAGAUGGGUUGUUAAGUCAGUUGUGAAAGUUUGCGGCUCAACCGUCAAAUUGCAAUUGAUACUGGCAGCCUUGAGUACAGUUGAGGGAGGCGGAAUUCGUGGUGUAGCGGUGAAAUGCGUAGAUAUCACGAAGAACUCCGAUUGCGAAGGCAGCCUACUAAACUUCCACUGACAUUGAUGCUCGAAAGUGUGGGUAUCAAACAGGAUUAGAUACCCCUGUAGUC